UGAGUACGAGAUGCUACGGCAUCGAAGCAGUCUAUGUCAUACUUCCAAGAAAAGCUUGCACUGUCAGAAACAGAUAAUGCCUGUACCAUAACCGACACAGGUGGGUAGGUAGAGUAUACUAAGGGGCGCGAGAUAACUCUCUCUAAGGAACUCGGCAAAAUGACUCCGUAACUUCGGGAGAAGGAGUGCCUUAUUUUUAAGGUUGCAAUAACAAGAUCCAAGCAACUGUUUACCAAAAACACAGGUCUCCGCUAAGUCGUAAGACGAUGUAUGGGGGCUGACGCCUGCCCAGUGCCAGAAGGUUAAAGAAGUCGGUUAGCAUUCGCGAAGCUGGUAACUGAAGCCCUGGUGAACGGCGGCCGUAACUAUAACGGUCCUAAGGUAGCGAAAUUCCUUGUCGGGUAAGUUCCGACCUGCACGAAAGGCGUAAUGAUUUGGAUACUGUCUCGGAGAGGGGCUCGGUGAAAUAGACUUGUCUGUGAAGAUGCGGACUACCUGCACCUUGACAGAAAGACCCUAUGAAGCUUUACUGUAACUUGAAAUUGAAAUUGGACUUUAUUUGCGCAGUAUAGGUGGGAGGCGUUGAAAAUAUUCUUGCGGGAAUAUUGGAGCCAUCAGUGAGAUACCACUCUUGUAAUGUUAGAUUUCUAACUUUAUAUCAUUAUCUGGUUAAAGAACAGUUUCAGGCGGGCAGUUUGACUGGGGCGGACGCCUCCCAAAUGGUAACGGAGGCGCACAAAGGUUUCCUCUGAACGGGUAGAAAUCGUAUCUAGAGUGUAAAGGCAUAAGGAAGCUUGACUGUGAGACCUACAAGUCGAGCAGGGACGAAAGUCGGUCUUAGUGAUCUGACGGUGCUGAGUGGAAAGGCCGUCACUCAACGGAUAAAAGUUACUCUAAGGAUAACAGGCUGAUCUCCCCCAAGAGUUCACAUCGACGGGGAGGUUUGGCACCUCGAUGUCGGCUCAUCGCAUCCUGGGGCGGUAGUACGUCCCAAGGGUUGGGCUGUUCGCCCAUGAGAGCGGUACGCGAGCUGGGUUCAGAACGUCGUGAGACAGUUCGGUCCAUAUCCGGUGUAGGCGUUAGAAUAUUGAGAGGAGCCUUCUUUAGUACGAGAGGACCGAGAAGGACAUACCUCUGGUGUACCAGUUAUCGUGCCAACGGUAAACGCUGGGUAGCUAUGUAUGGAGUGGAUAACCGCUGAAAGCAUCUAAGUGGGAAGCCCACCUCAAGAUAAG
rnacentral:rRNA from 1 species